rnacentral:rRNA from 1 species
GGAAAGGCGCGCGAUACAGGGUGACAGCCCCGUACACAAAAAUGCACAUGCUGUGAGCUCGAUGAGUAGGGCGGGACACGUGGUAUCCUGUCUGAAUAUGGGGGGACCAUCCUCCAAGGCUAAAUACUCCUGACUGACCGAUAGUGAACCAGUACCGUGAGGGAAAGGCGAAAAGAACCCCGGCGAGGGGAGUGAAAAAGAACCUGAAACCGUGUACGUACAAGCAGUGGGAGCACGCUUAGGCGUGUGACUGCGUACCUUUUGUAUAAUGGGUCAGCGACUUAUAUUCUGUAGCAAGGUUAACCGAAUAGGGGAGCCGAAGGGAAACCGAGUCUUAACUGGGCGUUAAGUUGCAGGGUAUAGACCCGAAACCCGGUGAUCUAGCCAUGGGCAGGUUGAAGGUUGGGUAACACUAACUGGAGGACCGAACCGACUAAUGUUGAAAAAUUAGCGGAUGACUUGUGGCUGGGGGUGAAAGGCCAAUCAAACCGGGAGAUAGCUGGUUCUCCCCGAAAGCUAUUUAGGUAGCGCCUCGUGAAUUCAUCUCCGGGGGUAGAGCACUGUUUCGGCAAGGGGGUCAUCCCGACUUACCAACCCGAUGCAAACUGCGAAUACCGGAGAAUGUUAUCACGGGAGACACACGGCGGGUGCUAACGUCCGUCGUGAAGAGGGAAACAACCCAGACCGCCAGCUAAGGUCCCAAAGUCAUGGUUAAGUGGGAAACGAUGUGGGAAGGCCCAGACAGCCAGGAUGUUGGCUUAGAAGCAGCCAUCAUUUAAAGAAAGCGUAAUAGCUCACUGGUCGAGUCGGCCUGCGCGGAAGAUGUAACGGGGCUAAACCAUGCACCGAAGCUGCGGCAGCGACGCUGAUGCGUUGUUGGGUAGGGGAGCGUUCUGUAAGCCUGCGAAGGUGUGCUGUGAGGCAUGCUGGAGGUAUCAGAAGUGCGAAUGCUGACAUAAGUAACGAUAAAGCGGGUGAAAAGCCCGCUCGCCGGAAGACCAAGGGUUCCUGUCCAACGUUAAUCGGGGCAGGGUGAGUCGACCCCUAAGGCGAGGCCGAAAGGCGUAGUCGAUGGGAAACAGGUUAAUAUUCCUGUACUUGGUGUUACUGCGAAGGGGGGACGGAGAAGGCUAUGUUGGCCGGGCGACGGUUGUCCCGGUUUAAGCGUGUAGGCUGGUUUU